rnacentral:rRNA from 1 species
AACGAACGCUGGCGGCAUGCCUAACACAUGCAAGUCGAACGAGACCUUCGGGUCUAGUGGCGCACGGGUGCGUAACGCGUGGGAACCUGCCUUUAGGUUCGGAAUAACUCAGAGAAAUUUGAGCUAAUACCGGAUGAUGUCUUCGGACCAAAGAUUUAUCGCCUUUAGAUGGGCCCGCGUUGGAUUAGCUAGUUGGUGGGGUAAAGGCCUACCAAGGCGACGAUCCAUAGCUGGUCUGAGAGGAUGAUCAGCCACACUGGGACUGAGACACGGCCCAGACUCCUACGGGAAGCAGCAGUGGGGAAUAUUGGACAAUGGGCGAAAGACUGAUCCAGCAAUGCCGCGUGAGUGAUGAAGGCCUUAGGGUUGUAAAGCUCUUUUACCCGAGAUGAUAAUGACAGUAGCGGGAGAAUAAGCGCCGGCUAACUCCGUG